rnacentral:rRNA from 1 species
UCAAGUGAAGAAGCGCAUACGGUGGAUGCCUUGGCAGUCAGAGGCGAUGAAAGACGUGGUAGCCUGCGAAAAGCUUCGGGGAGUCGGCAAACAGACUUUGAUCCGGAGAUGUCUGAAUGGGGGAACCCAGCCAUCAUAAGAUGGUUAUCUUACGCUGAAUACAUAGGCGUAAGAGGCGAACCAGGGGAACUGAAACAUCUAAGUACCCUGAGGAAAAGAAAUCAACCGAGAUUCCCUUAGUAGUGGCGAGCGAACGGGGACUAGCCCUUAAGUGGCUUUGAGAUUAGCGGAACGCUCUGGAAAGUGCGGCCAUAGUGGGUGAUAGCCCUGUACGCGAAAAUCUCUUAGUCAUGAAAUCGAGUAGGACGGAGCACGAGAAACUUUGUCUGAAUAUGGGGGGACCAUCCUCCAAGGCUAAAUACUACUGACUGACCGAUAGUGAACUAGUACCGUGAGGGAAAGGCGAAAAGAACCCCGGAGAGGGGAGUGAAAUAGAUCCUGAAACCGUAUGCGUACAAGCAGUGGGAGCCCACUUUGUUGGGUGACUGCGUACCUUUUGUAUAAUGGGUCAGCGACUUAUUUUCAGUGGCGAGCUUAACCGAAUAGGGGAGGCGUAGCGAAAGCGAGUCUUAAUAGGGCGUCUAGUCGCUGGGAAUAGACCCGAAACCGGGCGAUCUAUCCAUGGGCAGGUUGAAGGUUGGGUAACACUAACUGGAGGACCGAACCGACUACCGUUGAAAAGUUAGCGGAUGACCUGUGGAUCGGAGUGAAAGGCUAAUCAAGCUCGGAGAUAGCUGGUUCUCCUCGAAAGCUAUUUAGGUAGCGCCUCAUGUAUCACUGUAGGGGGUAGAGCACUGUUUCGGCUAGGGGGUCAUCCCGACUUACCAAACCGAUGCAAACUCCGAAUACCUACAAGUGCCGAGCAUGGGAGACACACGGCGGGUGCUAACGUCCGUCGUGAAAAGGGAAACAACCCAGACCGUCAGCUAAGGUCCCAAAGUUAUGGUUAAGUGGGAAACGAUGUGGGAAGGCUUAGACAGCUAGGAGGUUGGCUUAGAAGCAGCCACCCUUUAAAGAAAGCGUAAUAGCUCACUAGUCGAGUCGGCCUGCGCGGAAGAUGUAACGGGGCUCAAACCAUACACCGAAGCUACGGGUAUCACGUAAGUGAUGCGGUAGAGGAGCGUUCUGUAAGCCUGUGAAGGUGAGUUGAGAAGCUUGCUGGAGGUAUCAGAAGUGCGAAUGCUGACAUGAGUAACGACAAUGGGUGUGAAAAACACCCACGCCGAAAGACCAAGGUUUCCUGCGCAACGUUAAUCGACGCAGGGUUAGUCGGUCCCUAAGGCGAGGCUGAAAAGCGUAGUCGAUGGAAAACAGGUUAAUAUUCCUGUACUUCUGGUUAUUGCGAUGGAGGGACGGAGAAGGCUAGGCCAGCUUGGCGUUGGUUGUCCAAGUUUAAGGUGGUAGGCUGAGAUCUUAGGUAAAUCCGGGAUCUUAAGGCCGAGAGCUGAUGACGAGUGUUCUUUUAGAACACGAAGUGGUUGAUGCCAUGCUUCCAAGAAAAGCUUCUAAGCUUCAGGUAACCAGGAACCGUACCCCAAACCGACACAGGUGGUUGGGUAGAGAAUACCAAGGCGCUUGAGAGAACUCGGGUGAAGGAACUAGGCAAAAUGGCACCGUAACUUCGGGAGAAGGUGCGCCGGUGAGGGUGAAGGACUUGCUCCGUAAGCUCAUGCCGGUCGAAGAUACCAGGCCGCUGCGACUGUUUAUUAAAAACACAGCACUCUGCAAACACGAAAGUGGACGUAUAGGGUGUGACGCCUGCCCGGUGCCGGAAGGUUAAUUGAUGGGGUUAGCUAACGCGAAGCUCUUGAUCGAAGCCCCGGUAAACGGCGGCCGUAACUAUAACGGUCCUAAGGUAGCGAAAUUCCUUGUCGGGUAAGUUCCGACCUGCACGAAUGGCGUAACGAUGGCGGCGCUGUCUCCACCCGAGACUCAGUGAAAUUGAAAUCGCUGUGAAGAUGCAGUGUAUCCGCGGCUAGACGGAAAGACCCCGUGAACCUUUACUAUAGCUUUGCACUGGACUUUGAAUUUGCUUGUGUAGGAUAGGUGGGAGGCUUUGAAGCGUGGACGCCAGUCUGCGUGGAGCCAACCUUGAAAUACCACCCUGGCAACUUUGAGGUUCUAACUCAGGUCCGUUAUCCGGAUCGAGGACAGUGUAUGGUGGGUAGUUUGACUGGGGCGGUCUCCUCCUAAAGAGUAACGGAGGAGUACGAAGGUGCGCUCAGACCGGUCGGAAAUCGGUCGUAGAGUAUAAAGGCAAAAGCGCGCUUGACUGCGAGACAGACACGUCGAGCAGGUACGAAAGUAGGUCUUAGUGAUCCGGUGGUUCUGUAUGGAAGGGCCAUCGCUCAACGGAUAAAAGGUACUCCGGGGAUAACAGGCUGAUACCGCCCAAGAGUUCAUAUCGACGGCGGUGUUUGGCACCUCGAUGUCGGCUCAUCACAUCCUGGGGCUGAAGCCGGUCCCAAGGGUAUGGCUGUUCGCCAUUUAAAGUGGUACGCGAGCUGGGUUUAGAACGUCGUGAGACAGUUCGGUCCCUAUCUGCCGUGGACGUUUGAGAUUUGAGAGGGGCUGCUCCUAGUACGAGAGGACCGGAGUGGACGAACCUCUGGUGUUCCGGUUGUCACGCCAGUGGCAUUGCCGGGUAGCUAUGUUCGGAAUAGAUAACCGCUGAAAGCAUCUAAGCGGGAAACUAGCCUCAAGAUGAGAUCUCACUGGAACCUUGAGUUCCCUGAAGGGCCGUCGAAGACUACGACGUUGAUAGGUUGGGUGUGUAAGCGCUGUGAGGCGUUGAGCUAACCAAUACUAAUUGCCCGUGAGGCUUGACCAU